rnacentral:rRNA from 1 species
GUACGGGGGGGCAAGCGUUGUUCGGAAUUACUGGGCGUAAAGGGCUCGUAGGCGGCCAACUAAGUCAGACGUGAAAUCCCUCGGCUUAACCGGGGAACUGCGUCUGAUACUGGAUGGCUUGAGAUUGGGAGAGGGAUGCGGAAUUCCAGGUGUAGCGGUGAAAUGCGUAGAUAUCUGGAGGAACACCGGUGGCGAAGGCGACAUCCUGGACCAACACUGACGCUGAGGAGCGAAAGCCAGGGGAGCAAACGGG